GCUUCCUGUUUUUCCACAUUUUUUAUUUCUGAUUUCAUUUUUCAUUUUAUUUCUUUAAUUCCAUUUCAUUUCAAAAAAUCAUAUCUCACUCAUUAUUGGUCCAAAAAAUGUGAGACCAAUUGCAUUAUUUAUCUUUUAAUUUCUAGUUUCUAAAAAUGAUUUUUAAUAUUUUUGAUUUUAUCAUUUGAUAUUUUUUAGGAAUUUUCUCUUUUCUGGUUAUUUUU
rnacentral:lncRNA from 1 species